AUGGAUUGGCCGUCUCUCACCAGGUACACCAUGGUCAUGAUCCUCUUCUCCCUGCCACUGAGCGCUUCCCAAGACCGUCUCGUCCCCAGCAAUGUGUUGUACCCUGGUAACACGAUCGUCUCCGAUGAUGGUGGAUUCGUCUUGGGCUUCUUCAAUCCCUCCAACUCCACUCCAGCCAUCCUGUACCUAGGCAUAUGGUAUAACGACAUUCCUGAGCUCAGUGUUGUGUGGGUCGCCAACCGAGACACCCCGGGAACCAACACAACUUCCUCAACACCGAAGCUCUCCCUCACCAACAACUCUAAUUUGGUUCGCUCCGACGAUGGUGGCGGGAGCUGCAUCAUUUGGGCAACAACUAACGUGACCACUGGUCUGGUCGUCUACCCUGACGGUGGUGGUUCUGAACACGGGAAAAAUAAAAGGAAAAAAACUGACCGGAAGCUUCCACUAGUGGGCCGGCCCAGAAAAAACGAGCUCAAUCCCUCUCGCGGCUGGACUAAGUUGGAGCAGAUGUCGUCUCAAAAAAAAAGGUUGGCUAAAAAAACAAAAGUUGGAGCAGAGAUCCUUCCGUCGACGAAUCCAGCGGCGGCCGGUGAGAUCUGCUUGUUUCGAAGGUAUCCCUUCUCCACCUCCGGUCGAAUUUUGGUUGCUUGGAUUGUCCGAGAUCUAAUUCAAAAUCUUUCUUUCUUGGUUGCUGGAUUGAAAAGAUCGAUGAUGAAAAACAAGCGCCGGCUGGUGAGAGGCGAUGAAGAGCAACGCCCUUACAAAAGGGUAGCUAGGCCAAAGAGAUUGGACAGCUCGAGUGGAUCCAGUCCAGGCGCCCUGAGUGAACUUAGUGAGCAAGUAGUUUCAAGAUUGCGCAGGAGUGUCGUGUCGCUUGCUUCGUUCGAUGGUGAUACCAAGUUACGUGAAUGCACAGGCAUAUGCAUUGAAACCUCAUGUUCUGAUUCUGAAGCUACAAUCCUGACAUCGAGACGGUUGAUUCCACCUACUCGCGCAGCUGCAAGUUUGAAUAUAAAAGUACGCCUUCCGAAUGAUCGGAUUGUCACUGGGUGGAUAGAGGAUCCUAAGAUAUAUGUUGAUUUUUUCAUUGUCAACAUCAAGAAUGUGUCUGGUAUUGAUGCCGCAAGUCUUGACUGUGACAUGCAGUCUGAGCCACAUACGAAGGUAGCAGCUGUAUGCCGCUGUUUCAGUUCAGGAUUUUUAACAGCCACAAGUGGACUAAAUCUCGCCUCUCCAACCAAUGAGACAAUCGUAAGCACGUGCCGGAUCCACAAGGCGGGGAUUGGAGGCCCUCUUGUUGAUUUUGAUGGCAACUUUGUCGGGAUGAACUCCUCUCGUACCAAAAUGGAGAAGACUGCUUACGUGCGAAGGGAGGGAAUUUUCCGAUUCUUGGUGCUUCACGGGAAGGUCAGUGUUAGAGUUAAGGAAGGGUUUGAUGAUGUUUCAAGGGCAAGAAUGAACAGUGAGAUGAAAGCAAUUAGGCCAAGUUUGAGUGCUAAGUCCGUAGAGAAAUUGAGUAAAUCCAGAAAAGGUGCCUUGACUAUUCAGUUUGCACGUAUGACUCUCUCCCUCUCCAGUACAGCCAUUGCCCUGUGCUCAUUUCAGAUUAAAGUACGCCUUCCCGAUGAUCAGAUUGUCACUGGGUGGAUAGAGAAUCCUGAGAUAUAUGUUGAUUUUUUUAUCGUCAAAAUCAAGAACGACGAUGUUAUUGAUCCCCCCCAUCUAUGUCAUCUAAGUCUUGAUCGUGCCACGCAGUUUGAGCCUUAUAGGAAGGUAGCAGCUGUAUGGCGCUAUUAUGAUUCAGGAGAAUUAAAGACCACAAGUGGAGUAGAUCUUGCCUCUGUAUGCGCUCUUACAGAUGAGGAGAUGUUAAGCACAUGCCGAAUCCAUGAGGUGGGGAUUGGAGGUCCCGUUGUUGAUUUUGAUGGCAACUUUGUCGGGAUGAACUGCUCUGGUACCAAACAAAGAAAGACCCCCUACGUACGAAGGCCUUCGAUUCGUGAAUUCAUGUGGUUUUGCGAGAUGGUCAGUGUUAAGGAAGAGGUUGAUGAAGCUGCAACUGCAAGAUUUAAAAGUCGUUAUGGAGAUUCAGCUUUCCUCAGGGCAGGAGGUGGGCAAUACAUACAUCUUCUCGAUGAUACCUUCAAGAAGGAUAUCUUGAGGAAACCAUUGGGAGGUUUUGGAUUAGAAAUGGAUCAAAGUGCCUACUCACUUGCUUCAGAAUCAAGCAAACUUCUUGCUUCAAAAAUGAAUCGAAGUGUUGUCUCACUUGCUUCAUUCAAUGGUGAUGACUCUGAUUUGCAAAAAAGUUUUCUUGCUCAGAUACUGGUUAACAUAACGUUAUCAUUGCAGAUUGAAGUUUGCCUUCCAAACCAAUUUCGAGUUGUAGGGAUAUUGAACUGUUAUAAUUUACACUACAAUGUUGCUCUUGUUGACAUCAUGGGAUUCUGGCGUCCUCGUAUAAUAAAAAUCCAUGGGCAUCCAGUUACCUCAUCUAUGGACGUAAUAGCUGUGGGUAGUCUUUUUGCGUGUCGCAAACUAAUGGUUGUUGAGGGGAAGGUGUUGAUUGGCAAACAAAGCAAACUUGAUUGCAAAGAACUAUGUGUCUCCACCUGUAAAAUCACCAAGGCUGGGAUUGGGGGGCCUCUUAUUGACAAUGAUGGGAAUUUUGUUGGAAUGAACUUUUAUGAUGAGGAAGAAACUUCAUUCCUGCCGAGGGACGUUAUUCACCGCCUCUUAUUGAACUUAAAUAAAAAACGGACUAGUGCAGAUGUAACUCUUAUGCUUUUUGAAAUAUGGCUGAUCAACCACACAGAUGGUUGUUGCCUGGUGGGACACACGGGAACACUGAAACUGUUGCACCGAUUGAUGGAAACAAAUGGCCGUUGCCUGCGCCACGCUACGUUGGUCGUAGAGCCAACCCUUUGCCACGUCACAAAUGGCCUCUGCCUCGUGGCCGAAAGCCUCUACCUAUGUGAGGUCACCUUGGUUGUAGAGCCGACGAUCGCUGCUAGUAUUGAUGAUGUUUUCUCGUCCGUUGGUGCUGGGACCUCCAUUCUGAGCUGCUCGACUCUGUUAUCAUCGGAACCAAUUGAUGUCAUGGUGUUCUGUAUAUGUAAAUGGGCAAACCAUGUCAUAAGCCCAUGUGCUCUAAGCAUAGUGGUGUCCAAUGAUUUAUGUUCGCUCGUCUCCCUGGUAUCAACCAGCACCCAUUUUGCUGAUCUGCUGGUGAGGCAGGCUGCAUCCUUUGGAAGCAGCAAUUGUGAAGGAGUUGGCUUGAGCAUUCCAUCAACCAACCGGCAUAUGGAAGAUGAUGGCAGACUGAGUGAGGUCAUGCUAGCUUCAGGAAUCUCAUCCGGGCAUCUCCAGCGAGAGAACAAGCCAUCGAAGUACUGUAUUUCUCUUGGUGCGGCACCCAAAGAGGUUAGGAACUGCAGUAGCAAGAGGCAUCGCCAGGAGCCAUCUGUAACGCCAGAACCUAAUGAGCUUGCCAUCAACAGGAAGAUGAAGGCCGUGCCAUGGCUUUUCCGCCUCCAUCCAGUGCGGCCACCACCAAGGCCACCACAAGCAUAG
rnacentral:rRNA from 1 species